rnacentral:rRNA from 1 species
GAUGAACGCUGGCGGCGUGCCUAAUACAUGCAAGUCGAGCGAAUGGAUUGAGAGCUUGCUCUUAUGAAGUUAGCGGCGGACGGGUGAGUAACACGUGGGUAACCUGCCCAUAAGACUGGGAUAACUCCGGGAAACCGGGGCUAAUACCGGAUAACAUUUUGAACCGCAUGGUUCGAAAUUGAAAGGCGGCUUCGGCUGUCACUUAUGGAUGGCCCCGCGUCGCAUUGGCUAGUUGGUGAGGUAACGGCUCACCAAGGCAACGAUGCGUAGCCGACCUGAGAGGGUGAUCGGCCACACUGGGACGGAGACACGGCCCAGACUCCUACGGGAGGCAGCAGUAGGGAAUCUUCCGCAAUGGACGAAAGUCUGACGGAGCAACGCCGCGUGGGUGAUGCAGGCUUUCGGGUCGUAAAACUCUGUUGUUAGGGAAGAACAAGUGCUAGUUGAAUAAGCUGGCACCUUGACGGUACCUAACCAGAAAGCCACGGCUAACUACGUGCCAGCCGCCGCCGUAA